GGGUCUGUGCCCAGCUAGGACAGGGCGCCGGCCUUCGGAGCCGGAGGUCGAGGGUUCAAAUCCCUCCAGACCCGCCA
rnacentral:tRNA from 1 species